CCUACGGGAGGCAGCAGUGGGGAAUAUUGGGCAAUGGGCGCAAGCCUGACCCAGCAACGCCGCGUGAAGGAAGAAGGCUUUCGGGUUGUAAACUUCUUUUCUUAGGGACGAAGCAAGCGACGGUACCUGAGUAAUAAGCCACGGCUAUCUACGUGCCAGCAGCAGCGGUAAUACGUAGGCUGCAAGCGUUAUCCGGAUGUACUGGGUGUAAAGGGGGAGUAGGCGGGAAAGCAAGUCAGAUGUGAAAACCAUUGGCUCAACCUGUGAACUGCAUUUGAAACUGUUUUUCUUGAGUACUGGGGAGGUAGACGGAAUUCCUGGUGUAGCGGUGAAAUGCGUAGAUAUUAGGAGGAACACCAGUGGCGAAGGCGGUCUGCUGGACAGCAACUGACGCUGAGGCGCGAAAGCGUGGGGAGCAAACAGGAUUAGAUACCCGUGUAGUC
rnacentral:rRNA from 1 species